ACAGCAGCAGCCGCGGGAAUACGAAGGGGGCUAGCGUUGUUCGGAAUUACUGGGCUUAAAGGGCGCGCAGGCGGCCAUUCAAGUUAGAUGUGAAAGCCCUGGGCUCAACCUAGGAAUUGCAUUUGAUACUGUUUGGCUUGAGUUCGGGAGAGGUGAGUGGAAUUCCCAGUGUAGAGGUGAAAUUCGUAGAUAUUGGGAAGAACACCAGUGGCGAAGGCGGCUCACUGGACCGACACUGACGCUGAGGCGCGAAAGCGUGGGGAGCAAACAGGAUUAGAUACCCGGGUAGUCCCUGUCUCUUAUAC
rnacentral:rRNA from 1 species